rnacentral:rRNA from 1 species
AUUGAACGCUGGCGGCAUGCCUUACACAUGCAAGUCGAACGGCAGCGCGGGGCAACCUGGCGGCGAGUGGCGAACGGGUGAGUAAUAUAUCGGAACAUACCCUAGAGUGGGGAUAACGUAGCGAAAGUUACGCUAAUACCGCAUACGCACUAAGGUGGAAAGUGGGGGAUCUUCGGACCUCAUGCUCAUGGAGUGGCCGAUAUCUGAUUAGCUAGUUGGUGAGGUAAAGGCUCACCAAGGCGACGAUCAGUAGCUGGUUUGAGAGAACGACCAGCCACACUGGAACUGAGACACGGUCCAGACUCCUACGGAGGCAGCAGUGGGGAAUUUUGGACAAUGGGGGCAACCCUGAUCCAGCAAUGCCGCGUGAGUGAAGAAGGCC